rnacentral:lncRNA from 1 species
GUUAAUAGAUGAAUGAGCCCUUUCAUUUUUCUUCUAUAUAUCCAUACAAUCCAAUCAAAUUUAGCAUCUGUGACAAUCUGUGGUUUUACUUAUGAAUUCAAACCAGAAAUUUUGGUAAAAAUUCAAGUAUAAAAGAGCGUUGACCACAACAGAUGAGUAUAGAAGAGUGAUGUUUUCUAACUAGCUGAUUGCAACAGAGUGCUAAUACCAAAAGAAAGAUAGAAAUAAUCAAGCUAUAUUUGCUUUUCUAAUGGAUGGCAGAGGAGAAGAAAGACAAUCACCCUUCUAAUUAGACGCCGGAAACAAAACUCAAUGAAAGUGGUGAGAGAAGAGGUAUAACGACG